CUUACUAUUUUGAGCCAAGAAGAGGCGUCAAUGUGCCUAUCUAAGCUAUAUAGUCGUCCUUCCGAUUCGGCAAUUUCAACCUGUAAUGAUCUUUCACUCUUGAUAAUUUUUUCUUUUUAUCUCGAUAAUAAAUGAAACUUAUUUAACUCAAUGAUCUCGGUCAUAGCAUUUUUCCUCAAAAAAGUAACUGCUCUGACGAUUGGGAGACGAUUUUGUGAUGAACUCGAUACUCCGAAUUUCUCCAGAUUCAUCAUUGAGUUGUCUGAUACCAUUAGGGGAUACAUCGUUUUAUAAAUUAAGUAUUAUUUAAAAAUAAUUCAAACUUUGUAAUAUUCGACCUUAGUUGAUGUCGAAUACUUUCGGAAAUUAAUUGAUAAUUCUAUUGGCUUCAAGCACUAAGAAUUGCGAUCCAAGACCGUAGUAGAAGAUUCACAAAAACGUUCUAAUAUUUUUCGCCACUAAGAACUCUGACUCAAAAUUGUUGUGACUUAACAAUGAAAAAUACUUAGAAUUCUAUAGACCUUGGUAACCACCAAAUGAAGUGAAAAUGUCUACUAACUAUCAACCGAGUUACGCACGGCCUUUAAAUGUCCGGAUUGUUAAUUUGCCCCCACUAGUUUUUCCUAUGAGUAUAUGUCUAAUUGUAUUUAAACGCCCUAGAGGGAGGAGACACCCUCUUCCUAUCGCAUAUCUCGAAUUAUAGUCCAAUAGUGUUACAGAAUGGUGGGGGGUGAAGUAAGCUAUUCGCUGGGGUUGGUUCGCUUUUGUUUAGUGCAAGGUGUAAUGGUACUUCUUGCAAAUUCUUAACUCCCACUCUCAUCCAUGUAUAUUAUUUAAAUAUAUUUAUUUAUUAUUUUAAUGUAAAAACGAAAAUUGUGCAGCAAGAUUUUGACACUUCACAAAACAUUUUUAUUUUAUUUUUUUAAAUACUAAGAAAAAAUUAUUUUGUAUAAAUAUAAACAAAAUUUUAUCGAUAAAAUUGAUAAAGAAAUUAAACUUUCAAAUAAACAAUUCUUUGUUGAAAUUUUGUAACGACAAAUGCACUUGUUAAAAGAUGUAGACAUUUUUUUAAAUUCUUCGAAAUAUGUUUGUCAAAAUCACAUGGUCAUAUAAAAUAUUUAACUGUGUAAUUAACAAUUUCAUUUGUUUCAAUAAUUCAUGUAUUUUAAAUAACUUAUUUAAUAUGUUUUAAGUUUUGUGAAAAUGCGAUAAUUUGGAGCGAAGUUUUAGGUUUAUACCUGCGCAGAUUUUAUAUUCGUACUCGCGGUUGCGUGACGCUGAACACUAUAAACCCGUAAUACCUAUAUCUUUUCUAUCAGCGAAAGAUAUCUACUUACUAUUUCAAAAAGUAUUAAUUAAUAAUCGCAACAAUCGACAGCGAUUGAUUUAUGAUGGAAAAGAUUAUUUAACAAGCAUUAAUGAAUGUC